rnacentral:lncRNA from 1 species
AGGGUUUAAUUUUUUAAAAAAUUUUGGCAAUAAAAAAAGGAGAGCAAUAGAACAUGAAGAAAUAUAAGUAGGAAUGUCAAUAGGUAAGAUUUGGGGCAAAAUUUUAAACAUCUGAAUCCAUAUCCAGCAAUCAAGUUGAAAAUUCAAAUUCGAAUCAUAAUCCAAAUCCGAAGCCACAUCCGAAUCCGAUGGAUUUAGAAAAUCCAUAUCCAAACCUAAAAUCCGAACCCAAAAUUCUAAAUAUGAAACAAUCAUUUAUCUUUACUGAUUUGAAAAUAUAUCAUAUUAAGAUUUAUAUUUUUAAAAAUAUGAAUUCAAAUAUAAAGCCAAAUAUUUUAUAUAUUUUAGAUAAUACAAAAUCUAUUCAAGUUGAGAUCGGAUUCAAAUGUGGAUUGGGUAGCUAGAGACAAAAUUCAUACUUGAAUCUAGAUCGGUCCGAUUUUUAUUUUUUUAUAUCUGUAUUCGAAAUCAUAUCUACUGAGCAUCGGAUUUACUCGUCUAGCUCGAAUUCGGGUACUAAGUUGACAUUCAUAAAUAUGAGCCAUUAAAUGACAAAGUUAAACAAUGAGGCUCCGUUUGGAUACCUUUAAAAACGUAGCAUAGUUAAACUAUGCUACACCGGUAGGAUAUUUAUCCUAUGAAGCAUUUGGGAGAAAAAAAAAAUACCGUAAUUUUUGGAGUAUAGUUAAACUAUACUCUAAAAAAUUGAGUAAAAUUAUAAUCCACUCUAACCAAAGAAAAAGAAUUCCACUAUUCUUCGGCAAAAAUGUAUAAAGUUCUUAUAACUUUCAAAUUUCAACAUGAAAUUUUAAAUUUCAACAUAGAUUUUAAAUUUUAAAUUUUAAAUUUUACGAUCUAAUUUAUAUUCAAAUUUUUAAUUUCAAAUUUAAAAUGUGAAUCUUCACUUUGAAAUAUCAAAAAUUAAAUUUUAUAAUUUCAAAAUUUAAAUGUCAAAUUUUAAAUUUUAAAUUUUUUAAUUUUAUAGAUUCAAAUUUUAAUUUUCGAAUAUCAAAUUUUAAAUUUUAGUUUACAAAUAAUAAAAUUUCAAAUUUUAAAUUUUUUAAUUUAUAAUUUCAAUUUUUAAUUCUAAAUUUUUAAUUUUCAAUUUUAAUUUUUAAAUUUCAAAUAUCAUAGUUGAAAUUUCAAAUUUUGAACUUCAAAUUUUAAAUUUAUUGUUUAGAUUUUAAAUUUAAAAUUCUAAAUUUAAAAUUUAAAAUUCUANUUUUAAAUUUUAAAUUUUAAAUUUUAAAUUUUAAAUCUCAAAUCUCAUAGUUCAAAUUUCAAAUUUGACCUUUAAAUUUUAAAUUUAUUUUUAAAAUUUUAAAUUUAAAUUCUAAAUUUAAAAUUGUAAAUUUAAAAUUUAAAAUUUUUUAUUUUAAAAUUAUAAAUUUUAAAAUUUUAAAAUUAAAUUUAGAUUUUUAUAUUUUAAAUUUUUAAUUUUAAAAUUUUAAAAUUUAGAAUUUAAAAUUUAAAAUUUCACAUUUCACAUAUCAAAUUUUAAGUUUUAAAUUUCAUUGAAAUUUGAAAUUUUAGCUUUUAAUUUUAAAAUUUAGAGAAAUUCCGUGAAACUGCAAAAUGCGCAUCCAAACAGUUUAAAAAUUGAAUCCAUGAAAUUUUUUUAGAGUUACAGAAUUUCCUAUUUCAUUUUGGCCAAAACCACAGUUUAUAAAUUCCGUGGAGAUUUUUUACUGUGUAUCCAAACAGAUCCUGAAUGUAGCAUAUUAUGCUUGGAAAAUAAAUCCAAGUCACAGAAAAUUAAGGAUGUAAAUCUUCCACCUGUAUUGUAAUUAGCACGUAUAUGCAGCAUUAUUUAAAGAAGAUGAAAAAAAAACAAACAAA